UGUGUGUGUGUGUGUGUGUGUGUGUGUGUGUGUGUGUGUGUGUGUGUGUGUGUGUGUGUGUGUGUGUGUGUGUGUGUGUGUUUGGUGUACUUGUCUGCAUAACCAUUCAGUGUUUCACAGUUGGUGCUGGAGCUCUCAGGUGCGCUGGAUGACAGGUGUCUCCUAUCUGCUGAUUGCUUGGGGGAGUACUUAAGCGGGAGGCUGCCAGUACUUCGAUGCCAGAGUGAUUGCCUUAGUGGUAACAAGCUCAGCCUCUACUGAUCUUUUGUUUCGUUUUUGAACUUCAAGUAACUUUGUAUUUUGUUCCCACGCAGGUUUUUACCUGAGGCUUUGUUUACCUUGCUGAAUUCCGACUUUGUUCCAGAGUUUCACUGAGCAUCUGGAUUAUCAACUACUGAGUUAAGGAUCUAUCUUCAUGUGGAUUUCUCUCACUACCGUCUGUACCUUUAGGACACGGACCAAACUGGCGGCUUCCCGUUUCCUCCAACUCCAGGACCCAGGCAUCAGCAUACCCUGUCCCUUCCUCCAUCUCAAACAUAGGAAGGCCCAAUGCAUUGUGGGUAAUAAGAUGGACUGUUGGUCAAACUAAAGUAAGAAAACCCACCAGGUGUGAAAUGUAAAAUGAAGCAUGAAUCAAGGUUUGAAAGCCCUGCAAGCUAGGGUUAGGCCAGAGUGUUUAGGUUUAAUAAAUAAAACCAGUGAAUUUAGGGUUAGGCAAGAGCCGGAGUUCUUAGGUUUAGGGUAAGACACUCUGAAUCUCUCUACCCCUGGUGGUUCAAGCUACAACAAUUUAGUAAGCCAUUUCUUAGCUCUAAGUAAUCAGUUACUUCAUAUUUUUGGUUUGUUCACCAGUUCAUUCUUCUUCCUUCCUGUACAGUUGGUGUUUCCAGUCCUCAUCCCAGAUUACUUUGCUGACAACAAAAUCCGUAAAACUGUCCCGUCUGAGUGUUCUCUGUAUGUGGGUCAAAUCUAUACCGAAAAUGACAGAACACUAUGGCCAACAAGACCCUGCAGAAACACUCUGAAGAACUCUUUCAGAACAUGCAAGUCAGCUUCAUUCUCAUGAUUCAUCUCUCCAUUUUCUUACAGAGCAGCAGCGUCAAACUAACCAGCAGUUAGUGCAGAUCACCUCCAUGCAACAGCAGACCCUCAGUACCCAGUUCACCACACAGGUAGAUGGCGCUGCUGCAUCCCCGGUAACUCCACAGCCGCCUCACUCUCGUAACAUAAUUUCCCCUACCCUGAUAGGUUUUCUGGCGAGGUGGGUAAUUGUAGAGGGUUUUUACUCCAAUGUGCCCUAGUUUUCAACCGCUCUCCAAGUUCCUUCCCGCAUGAUGUUAAAAUUUCAUAAAUCAUUGGUUUCUUGACCAGCAAGGCUUUGCAAUGGGCCAAGGCCCGAUUUGCAGCUUCUUGUAAUUUUGGUUGUACCUUUGAAGAAUUUAUUUCGGAAUUUAAGCAGACAUUUUUCUCAAAAUUAGAUAAGUCAGACACUGGAUGGCAGCUGCGGGCAUUAAAGCAAUGCAAUAGACCCCUCACUGAGUUUUCAAUAGAAUUUCGUACUUAGGCAGCAGCUUCCGGUUGGAAUGAUUGUGCUUUAAAGUCUGCAUUUUUCAUGCCAUAGACGAGGAUCUAAAAGACGAGUUAGCUCUGGUUAAUGAACCUACCACAUUGAAUGGAGUAAUUUCUUUGGCCACAAGAGUGGAUAACACAAUAAGGGAGAGAAGGAGAACCAGAACAGAAAAUCUAGUAUUAGAUCACGGAUUAACCUUUCACCCAUUGCUAAACCCACUCAGCCCUUAGCUACUGGGUCAGAACCUAUGUUGAUAGGACGCACCCGGUUAACUCCAGAAGAGAGACAGAGACGCAGACAAGCCAAGCAGUGCUUUUACUGUGGUUCUCCUGACCAUUUUGUAGCUGGCUGUCCUGUUUGUCCCGGGCAGCCAAAAGACAGGGUCCGCUAACCAGGAAGGGGGGGUUGGGGGACCAUUCAUUAAAUAACGAAGCCCCUAGACUCAGCUUGCCAGCCACUAUCACAGUUAAUCAACAGACGUUGACUAUGUUCGCUUUGAUCGAUUCUGGAAGUGAACAGAAUUUGAUUGAGUCAGGAUUAGUAAACUAAGCUGGAAUUGAGGUUGAACCUCUUGCUUCCCCUCGAUCUUCAAGACUCCACUCGGUCACUUUGAAUACCUGGUCAUGCCUUUUGGUCUAUGCAAUGCUCCUGCUGUCUUUCAGGCCCUUGUUAACGACGUGCUUAGAGAUUUUUUGAACAUUUUUGUUUUUGUGUAUCUAGACAACAUUCUGAUCUAUUCUAAGAACAUUGAGGAGCAUAGUUGCCAUGUUCACCAAGUACUUCAACAUUUUCUGGAAAACCGUCUCUUUGUAAAGAGCGAAAAGUUUGAGUUUCACCAAACCUCAGUAACCUUUUUAGGAUACAUUUUCGAGGGUGGACAGGUACGAUCUCACCCCAAGAAGAUUAAGGCAGUCCUGGAGUGGCCUGUACCAGACACCCGCAAAACAUUACAGAGAUUCCUCAGAUUUGCAAACUUUUACAGACGCUUCAUUAGAAAUUACAGUCAGACAGCCGCACCACUUACUGCCUUAACCUCUUCAAAGGUUUCAUUUUCAUGGCCCCCCGAGGCUGAAGAAGCAUUCCAGGCAUUAAAGAGGAAGUUCUCUCAAGUUCCCAUCACCCUGACUCUUCGAAACAGUUGAUUUUAGAGGUUGAUGCCUCUGAUAUUGGCAUUGGAGCAGUUUUAUUGCAGAACUCUGAGGAUGGGAGACUACAUCCUUGUGCCUUCUUUUCACGCAGAUUGAACAAUGCAGAGAGAAACUAUGACGUCGGGGAUAGAGAACUACUAGCUAUUAAGUUAGCUCUUGAGGAAUGGCGCCAAUGGCUUGAGGAUGCGGAACAUCCAGUUCAAGUCUGGACGGACCAUAAGAGCUUGGCUUACAUACAGUCUGCUAAAAGAUUGAACCCACGUCAGUCCCGGUGGUCUUUGUUCUUUUCACGUUUUGAUUUUUGUAUUUCUUUCAGACCUGGAACUAAGAACACUAAAUCUGAUGCACUCUCCAGACAGUUUGCAGUUGAUGAUUCUAUAAAGGAGCCAGCUCCCAUUCUACUGCCUAAUUGGAUGGUUGGGGCGCUCAGGUGGGAGAUGGAAGACGUAAUCCUCAAAGCACAACAACAGGAACCCGACCCUGGCACAGGACCACCCAAUCAUACCUACGUCCCACUUCAGGACGUUCCCAUUUCGAAGCAUCCCUAGGUUACCAGCCACCUUUGUUUUCUGCCGAUGAGACAGACAUUAUGGUUCCUUCAGUCCACCAACACAUCCAUCGCUGCAGAACCAUAUGGAACUCCACCAUCCAAACCCUCCAACGAACCACAGAACAGAACAAACAGUUCGCUAAUCGACGACGCCAACCUGCCCCAGAAUAUCAGCCCUGCCAAAAGGUUUGGUUAUCAGCAUAUGACGUACCAUUGAAGUCUAUGUCCUGAAACUUUCGCCUCGUUUCAUCGGACCUUAUGAGAUUGAGACAGUGAUCAGUCCCUCAGUGGUUCGUCUCUGUCUACCUGCAAGCCUCCGCAUACACCUUACAUUUCAUGUAUCACAGAUAAAGCCUUGGAUCCCUAGUGCUUAGCAUCUGGAUUAUCAAUUACUGAGUUAAGGAUCUAUCUUCUGGGAUCCUGUGGAUUUCUCUCACUACCGUCUGUACUUUUCGGACAUGGACCAAGCUGGCAGCUUCCCGUUUCCUCCAACUCCAGGACCCAGGCAUCAGCAUACACUGUCCCUUCCUCCAUCUCAAACAUCGGCACCUGAGCUCCAUUUGGCUGGCACCAAGAUCACAACAAAGAAGACAACUGAACAAUCUUCCUUUGCAAGUUAAGACUUUAAAUCUCUCUACCCCUGGUGGUUCAAGCUACAACAAUUUAGUAAGCCAUUUCUCAGCUCUAAGUAAUCAGUUACUACAUAUCAUUCAUUUGUUCACCAGUUCAUUCUUCUUCCUUCCCGUACAGCUGGUGUUUCCAGUCCUCAUCCCAGAUUACUUUGCUGACAAUAAAAUCCGUAAAACUGUCCCUUCUGAGUGUUCUCUGUAUGUGGGUCAGAUCUAUACCGAUAAUGACAGUUAUAUUUAGGAACAAGCCAAGAACCCCUAAAGAUCAAGCUGAAAAACAUAUCAGAUAUGCAGAAGAACUUUCUUUCUGUCUACAGUUAUCAUUUCUGAUAAGAAAAAUACCAUCUCUUUGCUUUGGCCUUAUGAUCAAAAUAUCUACAACCGCAUUCUUUCAAUCUGAGAUUAUUAUUCUGGAUAUCUAAAAUAGUUUUCUCAAAAUGACAGCUCUAUUAAAAUUAGAAAAAUAUUAAAACUGUAAAGUAGCCAAUUGAACUACUCCAUAGGUGUUACACAAGAUCCCAUACCACAAGUGUUAAUUUGGUAAUGUUAAAAUACAUUUCCGUUCUAAAUAAAGUUUGUCUCACAAACUGUUUAAUUUAGUGAAGUAGGUUCAAGCUUUUAUCAUUAAUUUCAUGAUAAAUUUAUUUUGUGUGUAUUUUGACAAUUUCUUUGCUGUUUAUUUUGUUUCCUUGAUUCUUAUUUUCUUUUUGUGCUUUCUGUUAUUGUAUAUUAGAUCUCAGUUAUAUAAUUCCUCUGGGUUUCUUUGUGUUACGCUUUCAGUUCUGCUCUUGCUAAUUACUCUCCCUCCUUCAGCUACUCUGUCUUCGCUCUGCCACAGCUGUAACUCAUUUCCUCUGAUUGCCCUUCUGGUUUGCUUGUCAUUUCUGUAAUUUCACUGAUUUUCUUAGUUCUUUCCUGGCUCCUACUGUUGACUUCAUGUUCCCUUUUGCUCCAUUGCCCUGCCUGUUAUUCCCGUUCUGGUUUCAUGUCCUGUUUCUUCAUAUGAAAAUUGUAAGUCCUGUGUUUCUUUUCCUAUUAAAGGUUUCGUUGCUUCA